rnacentral:rRNA from 1 species
AUUGAACGCUGGCGGAAUGCUUUACACAUGCAAGUCGAGCGGCAGCGCGGGGGCAACCCUGGCGGCGAGCGGCGAACGGGUGAGUAACAUAUCGGAACGUACCCAGUCGUGGGGGAUAACUAUCCGAAAGGAUAGCUAAUACCGCAUACGUCCUGAGGGAGAAAGCGGGGGAUCGCAAGACCUCGCGCGAUUGGAGCGGCCGAUAUCGGAUUAGCUAGUUGGUGGGGUAAAGGCUCACCAAGGCGACGAUCCGUAGCGGGUCUGAGAGGACGACCCGCCACACUGGAACUGAGACACGGUCCAGACUCCUACGGGAGGCAGCAGUGGGGAAUUUUGGACAAUGGGGGCAACCCUGAUCCAGCCAUUCCGCGUGAGUGAAGAAGGCCUC